UGGCUCAGUGGUAGAGUGCUUGCCUUGAAUGCAUGAAGCCCUGGGUUCGAUUCCUGA
rnacentral:tRNA from 1 species